UGGUUCUGGCAUCGAUGAAGAACGCAGCGAAAUGCGAUAAGUAGUGUGAAUUGCAGACUUUAGUGAAUCAUCGAAUUUUUGAACGCACAUUGCGCCCCUUGGUAUUCCAUUGGGUAUGCCUGUUCGAGCGUCAUUUCAACUCUCAAGCAUUGCUUGGUGUUGGGCGUUUGUCUACACUAUCGUAGACUCGCUCUAAAAUCAUUGGCAGCGGUUUGUCGGCCUCUCGCGCAGCACUUUGCGCUCCUCGAGGCUCUGGCGGGUUUGCGUCCAUCAAGACCAUCUUUAAGUUUGACCUCGAAUCAGGUAGGGAUACCCGCUGA
rnacentral:misc_RNA from 1 species